AUCCAGCUGACGAGUCCCAAAUUGGACGAAACGCGCGUCCUGAAU
rfam:Schistosoma mansoni strain Puerto Rico chromosome 2, complete genome